rnacentral:sRNA from 1 species
AUUACUUCUACUUUGUGUAGAUACCCAUAGUCACUGACUGUAAUAUAAGUGCAACUGGACCAAAGGCAACUACUGAAAAGAGAGAGAGAAAAAAAUUACAGCUACUGCCAGAAGUGUUUGUGUAUUUUUUUUAAAACAGCUUUGUAUUAAACUAAUUUGAAGAGCUUUGCUUAAAAAUAGCUUCCUUCGGAUGUAAAAAUUGGGAACUAUAGAUUGGUGCUUUACAAAUUUAGUCUAGUCUUUCAGUGACCUAGCAGUUGAUAUGAAAACACGAAUUUUAAAAUAAAUAGCAUAUUGGAUGAACUGUAUUCUACUCAUGAAAGAAGCCAAAAAAUGAUGGUUUAAACUGAGUUUUAAGUAAUAAACCAGAUUCGUCAUUAAAAUGAAAUGAUAGAUCCUUGACCCUUGGGCAUGCUUGGAAUAAAUACGAACUCAGUAUUGUUUUUAAAACUAUUGUGCUUUUAUAAUCUAAGACAGAUGUACAAAAAACAUGCGGUUUUUAUUUUGUAUUGGCAGCUUCCAAAUAUUUAGUAUCUAUUUCCAAGAGUUGCAAUUAGUAAAGCAACCAUGGUACUGAAAUCUGCACAUCCCACAAGCUAAUUAUAUUUGCAAGGUCAGAGUGAAUACAUAUUUUCAGAAAAAUAAAGGGUUAUAUAAAUAUGUGUCUUCUACUUGGCUGUUAUAUCACAGUUUGUUGAUCUGGAGUAUAAUGUGUACAAUUCACAAAUUUGUCUGAUAACAGAAAGUGGUGUGUGAUUGUGUUUAUUUUACUAACCAGUAUAUUCACAGCAAUCACUUCCAAAUAUCUCUCCAGUAAAGAUGUGUUAAUUACAAAACAGACAAGGUCUUCUAUUAUAUUAAAGCUACUAACAAGAAGACAGCAGGAAUCACACAUGUAAAUAGCAUCAUCAACCCCUAUUUUAGUCCUCUGUUUUGAUCUGUGAGUUGCGCAUAGACCAAAGGUGCUAUUAAAGACUGAGUGUAUGAAAUAGGCAGCAUUAUAUGAACAAAAUUUAUUCAACAAGAAAACAGACCUUUAACAUGAAUUUAACAAGCCUGAGAAAUUAUAAACUAUCAUAUGCUGCAGAUUCAUGCAGUGAUAAUAAACAAAAAAGGAAAGUAAGAGGUUUCCCUAAGCUAGCCAAACUGCUAAUGGUUUUGUUAUAAGCUGUCUACUGUUGCAGUGACCUCUGAAAAGUCUCAAGGCACUUGUACCAGAAAAAAUUAAAUGGUCAGGCGGGUGAAUAGAGAUUCAAUGUAUUGUAUAGGCCUUCAGCAUGGAAAGGAAUUUUUCAAAGUCUAGCAUCAUAUUCCUGAAAAUAUUCUUCAUACUUUAGCUCAGAGGUUUUUGUUAUUAUAUAUUAAGGAGAUAGUUUUUGUGUAAAGUUUUUUGGUUAAAUUACUGUUUGAGUUUAUAAGAUAUAAACUGAACUAAUUUAAUGUCUAUAUACUUCAAAAUGAACUGUUUAGAAAAUUCAGAGAGCUCAAAAAAAUGGAUUAUUUCCCCUACCCACCCAUACAUUAAUUAAUUCUUGGGAGUUCUUUGUUCAGUGUGUUAUAUCUAAGAUUUCUGUUCUUAACCAUGGAGUGACCAUUUUGCUGUCAUUCUAUUGCAUCAUGCUGUAAAUACACAAACAUGGAGAAACGCUUUCAGCUUACACACACCAUCGAGUGCUCACUAGGGCUUUUUUUUUUUUAAUCUUAUAGUGGCAUAAUUAACACCUUCUUCACCCAUUGCUCAUUAGCGCUCUGGACAUUAAUGAGUCUAUUUUGAUAGGUUGCUCUAAAGGAUAAAUCCACUUAUUUUCACAGUGCAAAAAGCAAUUAUAAAAUUAUACCAAAAUUAAAAUGUAGACUAUAUUGCCAUGUUUAUAUUUUAUUGCAUAUUAAAUCUAAUUUUGGUCUGCAGGUUGUUGAACAUGUUAGUUUCCUUAAGACAGUUGCUAUAGUGAUGGCAGCAAAUUCCUUUAAUCUUAGUGUAAAGUAGUCAUUUUCUAUAGGCCAUCAUUGCUACUCAGGAAUUGUCAAUGAAAGCAUCUCAUUUUAUUAAGUUCUUGAAUUUUUCUCUUAGUUUCUUAAGAAAAUUUAAAAAAUUUGUUUUUAACAGAUCUGAUAUCUACUGAACUAGUAUUUUCAUUUCCUUUUUAUGAAGUUUCACACCUGCUUAUAAUAUUUCAGAGAAAUAAUAUAGACUUCUACAAGUAAAAUAGCUGUCUGCUGUUUUAGUUUCAAAGCAUUCAGUAUAAAAAAGUAUAUAGGAAUUUUGUUGUGAUAUAUAAUGAAAUUUUCAUAAUUUUGUAGUAGCUUUUUCUCUAUCUCACAAAUGAAUUUACUGAAAUCUUGAAAUGGACCAAAAUGAUGCUUUGCUCCUAAAUAUUUACCGUUAAUAGUUAGGGUGGCAAUUCUUAAUUUUGUAUUUAAGUUAUAUACCUAUCUUGGAAAAUGGCCACCUUCUUCCUCCUUUGCCAACAUUUUAACUUUAUCUUAUUUUAUGUUCUUUUUUAGUAUGAGUGUGAGGAAAUUUUACUUCUAUAUUUUUAACAAUUGUUUGAAGUUAUUUAUGAUAACAUCUGACUAAAAUAUGUCUGAUAGUACUUGUUUUUAUUGCUUUUUUAAAAAAGAGAAUAUGUUUAGAAAAAAAUUUUAAGUAUAAGCAUGUAGGCCAUAUUUAUUUAUAUAUAAACAUGAAAGUUAAGUGUGGAUUAAGGUUAUUGUAUAAAAAGAAAAAAGUUUUCGCAAACUAUCAAUUCAUGUUCUGGGGAUACUUGGCUUUAUUUUGAUGCAAGAGGAAUGAAUCUUUGGGAAAAUGUUAACUGUUCAAAAUAAAAGUAAAAUUCAGAGUUGAUAUUGUAGGCCGAAUGAGUAGACAGAAGCUUAGACUGAUUCACUUGUCAUAUGUUUUAGUCUAGGUUUGUAUUUUUUGUUAUUGUCUUUGGACCCAUCAUAGCAAUCUUUUACAAAGGGUGAUUUUCUUUCUUUAAAUCUUGUUCUUUAGCAUACAGCAUACAGUAAUACUUAUUACAAGCAGAAUUUUCAGACUUGAUUAGAUUUGGUUGGCUUAACUAUUUUUAAUCUCUUAAUAUCCUCAAGUAAUAAUUGUAUAAAUAAGAACAAAUCUAGUUGACACAGCUUUUAAAACAUUGAUAAAUCUUAAUCGUUCAGCACUUUUAAAGGCAAAAUAUAGAAAUACUCUGUUACUUAGUAUAUGAUCUUGCUUUAAGAUUGUUUCAUGUGAUAAAUCUAUUGAGUUAAAUUCCCUUAAAGUGGCAAUCUGUCUUAAAGUCACAUGACUUUACAUAAAACUUUAUAGUGUUGAAAAGCUUUAGCAAGUAUGUGAUUCUUGUUAAUCUCUUUAUAUGUAAGAGCUAACAGAUGUUAUUGUAUCAUAGGAGAAUUUGAAGUAUUUCUGUACACACAAAAAGAAUAUACUUAUUGUAAUAUCUUUACCAUGAAUUUAGGACCAUAUCAUUCCAUACCAUGUUCUUGGCUUAAAGCAUGGAUGACCUUGGUUUUCUUAUAUUGUGCCUUUUAUACUUGACAGUGGCUUGGACAUUUAAGGCCAUCAGACAAGGUAUAAAGUCUUUCAUAGUCACAAGAAGUAAAAGGUAUCUGACUAGAAGAGAAUAUGUGGGCAAGUGCCUUGCUGGCUGUAAUUUUGUUGUCAUUUCAAGUACUGUGGUGGUGUAAUUGAUGUGACAGGGCUGGGCUUUAGAUGUGGUCCCUUAACUUGUGCUCACUUUCAGUUUUAGUUUCUCUGUCAUUCAUUUUGAUUAGGUAAAAUUUAGGUGACAAACAUAUGCACACCAGUGAAAGCUGUUUGGUGUAAGUUUAGUAAUGACAUAUUUCAAUAAUAAAGAUGCAAAGUUAAUUUUUUUCUUUACUGCUUCAUGAAAAUUGCAAUAAUUGGUGUCACCUUACAUUACAAGAUAGAGGGUGGUGUGCUGAUGGCACAGUCAGCAGGAGGUUCUUUUUUAUUAAUAUUAUAAUUAAAUGAUUUUCUGGAUAUAGUCCAGAAACAGAUGCACGUCGAUCAUGCCUUGUCCACUGUUGCUUGGCAUUAUCACUUGCUUUUUAAAAAAAAUUGACUUGACACCUUGUUUUUACAGGUUGUUAUUGAUGCCUUCAGAUUGAUCAAUGCUAAUAUGAUGGUCUUAGGACAUGAACCAAGACAAACAACUUCGAAUCUGGGUCACUUAAACAAGCCAUCUAUCCAGGCAUUAAUUCAUGGACUAAACAGACAUUAUUACUCCAUUACUAUUAACUAUCGGAAAAAUGAACUGGAACAGAAGAUGUUGCUAAAUUUGCAUAAGAAGAGUUGGAUGGAAGGUUUGACACUUCAGGACUACAGUGAACAUUGUAAACACAAUGAAUCAGUGGUAAAAGAGAUGUUGGAAUUAGCCAAGAAUUACAAUAAGGCUGUAGAAGAAGAAGAUAAGAUGACACCUGAACAGCUGGCAAUAAAGAAUGUUGGCAAGCAGGACCCCAAACGUCAUUUGGAGGAACAUGUGGAUGUACUUAUGACCUCAAAUAUUGUCCAGUGUUUAGCAGCUAUGUUGGAUACUGUCGUAUUUAAAUAAAGCAAUGAAAAACGCUAUUAAUGAUGCCUUCAGUGUAUAUUCCUCUGUUGUUCCUAAUGCUCAAAAUCAAGGGACCUCUGAAGGUGUACUUGGCUAAAUGUAAGACAUCUGGCAUCAUUUGCAGCACUGUAACACCUUCAGUCUCAGUUGUGCGAUUACUUCUGUUUCUUUAGUCAGGGUCUUUGCAGAUUCUAAAGUUAUACAUGAAUACAUCAAAGUGGACAAAUUUUGUUAAGAUCCCAUUUAAUAUUUGAAAAAAUCAGUAGCACAAAUAUAUUUUGAUUGUCACUUACAAAAUAAAAUACAUUUACAGUC